rnacentral:rRNA from 1 species
CCUACGGGGGGCUGCAGUGGGGAAUAUUGCACAAUGGGGGAAACCCUGAUGCAGCGACGCCGCGUGUAGGAAGAAGUAUUUCGGUAUUUAAACUUCUAUCAGCAGGGAAGAAAAUGACGGUAUCUGUCUACGAAGCCCCGGCUAACUACGUGCCAGCAGCCGCGGUCAUACGUAGGGGGCAAGCGUUAUCCGGAUUUACUGGGUGUCAAGGGAGCGUAGGCGGUUCAGCAAGUCAGAAGUGAAAUCCCGGGGCUCAACGCCGGGACUGCUUUUGAAACUGUUGAACUAGAUUGCAGGAGAGGUGAGUGGAAUUCCUAGUGUAGCGGUGAAAUGCGUAGAGAUUAGGAGGAACACCAGUGGCGAAGGCGGCUUACUGGACUAUAAAUGACGCUGAGGCGCGAAAGCGUGGGGAGCAAACAGGAUUAGAUACCCGAGUAGUC